AAAGCUGAAAAUUGUUCAUCACAUACUGUACUACAUUGUAGGAAGGAGCAAAAAGAAAUGCAAAGCGUAUCAGCAAUUUCAUAGUUCAUACAAUGGAUCCUUGCUAUGUCUAAAGGUUAGUCAUCCACUAUGCAAGUAAUCAAAUUAUAGUUCAGCCUUAUGAUCAAAUUUCCUAUGAGUUGCUGAGUAGCCUGAGCAGAGAGGCUUUUCCAAGUUGUUUGACUUUGAAAUCAUAAUGCUUUUAGCAUGGCUUGAAUGAAUCUGAAUUGAGUUGAAAUGGGAAAGCAAAAGAAUUUUA
rnacentral:misc_RNA from 1 species